UAACAAGACUAACAUCAGUGAAAAGAUGGCAGUGAUCACCUGAUGGAACUGGAUGAGCUAUGUUGCCCAGGCUGGUCGCAAACUCCAGGCCUCCGGGAAUCCUCCUGCCUCAGCCUUCUGAAGUGCUGAAAUUACAGGUAUGACUCACUGCACCUGGCCACUACUGCUUAUUGGGUGCAGAUAAAAAGGAGUCAGUGAAUAAACUGAUGAUGUGGGAAGGAAAGAGAGAGAGAGAAAGAAUAAAUGUAGGACUGAAGUUCUUGAGAAAGGCAGAGGAGGUGCCAAAAGUGGAGGGGCUGGCUUAGCUAGGACCAGGGAUAUUUUGUCUAUCAAAAUAGGAGAGAAGGAAUACUAUAUGGGUACAGAUGCAAUUAAGUUGGUUGAUUUGGUGAAAGAAAGAGUAGUUAAUUCAUUUUCACUUUCUGCUUAUAUUUUUUCAAUGACGUAUGAGUUGAAAAAGCGGGGCAAGAUAGAACAGUCAAUAGAGACGUUUGAAAAGGUCAUAAGAAGGUGUGACAUUGUCACAUAAGCAUGCAACAACCUGGGAAAUAAAGUAGGGCUGCACUACAACAGUGUCCAGUUCAGUUGUGGUUAUGAAUUUAAAUGAGACCAGUCAGCACAAUUAUGUGAUUCUUCCCCCUAACAAUGUUCAGCUGCUUCGGCGACAGCACGGAAUAGACGGAUCAUUGGUGGAAACAGGGAUGGAGAUACGCCAGGAGUGUGCAAUGAAGAAUAAGAGGGGAGAGUUCACACAUUUCCAUAGGAAGAGAGCCACACCGCACAAACAACAGGUGUAAUUCUAAGGUGCUGUUUCUCCGAAUGCCACACAUGUUUACCACUGCUCAUCUCAAGGAAUCAAAACCCAGUUUCAACUUUUAUACAAAACCCAUGAAAGACUUAACCUUCUAUAAAAAUAUGUGAACAAAAGUAGACUCCCUUCUGGGAGGAUUGGGAGGGAUGGAGGAAAUUAUCCCAGAGAGUGCCGGCUCGGGAGUCGCUCUGAGGUCAGCCCCAAUCCUUUGGUUUACAUUUGUAGGGAGGAUCCACCCAACAGCUGUGCUUUAGUCAUCUUUAGAGAUACUCUCUCCCACCCCCUACCCUAAAAAACACAGAGUUGAAUGUGCUGAGAAGUAUACAUUAUGCUGCAUUGUGUGACUGUGUAAUUACUGUCCUAUACAUGCUGGACCAGAGAUUGACUGAAGACUGGAGAAUUAAACAAAGUUGUGACUAAUUCUGGAUCAAAUCCAAUAGGCAGAUGAAUAGGGCAAUCCUGAUAUUUUGCCAAAGCCA
rnacentral:lncRNA from 1 species